CAGCCCGCGUACAGCUGCCGUGCAGCCCGGCCCAGAGCCGCUGUCCCGGGGCUGUGCCCGCUGCCCGCUCCGCUCCCGACGCGCUGGCAGCCUGACCACUGUCGCAAUCAGCAGCUCUGAGUGCCGUCUGCGCUCUGCCAAAACUGUCUGCGUGUUUGGGCUCUGUUACCUUGGGCUCUGCCUGUUUGGACUCUGUUUGGGAUCACUUGGGGACCUGGCUGGGAGGAGGCACAGUAAAAGCAGGGCGUGAGGCAUUCCCAUGCAUGCUGUCUCUGAUUUCCCCACCUCUUUAUUGCCUUCCCGGUACUUUAUUGCCUUCCCAAACAGGUAACGCKUAUUGCUUUGCUGGAAUAAAACGUGUAAUUUAGCUGAUAUUGCCAUCUGCUGACAGAAACGCAGACUAGUCUGGGUGUCAGAGCCGCACGGGCUGGCGUGCUGACUGGCGACCUCAUGGGGGUCAUGUAAUCCGAUUUUCCGCUGAGAGAAGAGCCUGGUUAGAGCAGGAGGCUCAGGGAAUUGUCCGGCUAUGAAUAGCUUCAAAGAUGGAGAUUUCACAACCUCUUCGGACAACCUGUUCGCCUGAGUGACCACGCUUAGAGUAAAAUGUUUUUCCUGUAUCUAAAGAGAUUUUCCUAUGUUCCAUCUUGAGGCUGUUGCCUCUUAUGCUGCCUGACUGAGAAGAGAGUGACUCCCCCUCCUCCACAUCCUYCCGUUUGGUAGCUGCAGUGAUUGCACCCAGAGGCAGUUGCAAGAAGUGGGAGAGAUGGUAAGCAACACCCUGGACAAACACACGGAAAAGCAGGAUGUUUUCCUUGGAUGUCUCGCAAUCUAUGUGCAGACAAGCUGCAACAGAAGGUACCGCCAGGAAGCUGUCCCAGACACCAUGGGAAAAAGGAAACCUGCAGUGGGACUUCGCAACCUGGCAAACAGGACUGACUCUGGAGGCACCAAGCCUCCAUCCAGGCAGACUGACAGUCCCCCAAAGGAGGCACCAAGCCUCCACCCAGGCUGACUGACAGCCCCACAAAGGAGGCAUCAAGCCGCAGACAGAGCGGGGGAGGAAGUGCCACUCACAUCCCG